rnacentral:tRNA from 2 species
GCUCAUAUAGCUCAGUCGGUAGAGCACUUCCUUGGUAAGGAAGAGGUCAUCGGUUCAAAUCCGAUUAUGAGCUCCA